rnacentral:rRNA from 1 species
UACGUAGGUGGCAAGCGUUAUCCGGAUUUACUGGGUGUAAAGGGUGUGUAGGCGGGAAAGCAAGUCAGAUGUGAAAACCAUGGGCUCAACCUGUGGCCUGCAUUUGAAACUGUUUUUCUUGAGUACUGGAGAGGCAGACGGAAUUCCUAGUGUAGCGGUGAAAUGCGUAGAUAUUAGGAGGAACACCAGUGGCGAAGGCGGUCUGCUGGACAGCAACUGACGCUGAGGCGCGAAAGCGUGGGGAGCAAACAGG